GUGAGCUUUUCCAAACAUUGCUAUUUUGUCGCUCGAUGUCCGCUCCAGUCGUGAUACGACACAACAAAAUUGCAAUGUUUGAAAAGUCAUU